ensembl:rRNA 5S_rRNA 5S ribosomal RNA
GUCGACGGCCAUACCACCCUGAACGCGCCCCAUCUCCUCUGAUCUUGGAAGCUAAGCAGGGUCGGGCCUGCUUAGUGCUUGCAUGGGAGACCGCCUGGGAAUACCCGGUGCUCUGGCUU